UACGAAGGGGCUAGCGUUGUUCGGAUUUACUGGGCGUAAAGCGCACGUAGGCGGUUUGUUAAGUCAGGGGUGAAAUCCCGGAGCUCAACUCCGGAACUGCCUUUGAUACUGGCAAGCUAGAGUCCGGAAGAGGUAAGUGGAACUCCUAGUGUAGAGGUGGAAUUCGUAGAUAUUAGGAAGAACACCAGUGGCGAAGGCGGCUACUGGUCCGGAACUGACGCUGAGGUGCGAAAGCGUGGGGAGCAAACAGGAUUGAGA
rnacentral:rRNA from 1 species